CUGAAUAGGGCGCAUAAGUAACAGGUCGUAGACCCGAAACCAGGUGAUCUACCCAUGUCCAGGAUGAAGGUAAGGUAAUACUUACUGGAGGUCCGAACCCACGCACGUUGAAAAGUGCGGGGAUGAGGUGUGGGUAGCGGAGAAAUUCCAAUCGAACUUGGAGAUAGCUGGUUCUCUCCGAAAUAGCUUUAGGGCUAGCCUCGAGGUAAAGAGUCAUGGAGGUAGAGCACUGUUUGGACUAGGGGCCCUUCUCGGGUUACCGAAUUCAGAUAAACUCCGAAUGCCAUGUACUUAUACUCGGGAGUCAGACUGCGAGUGAUAAGAUCCGUAGUCGAAAGGGAAACAGCCCAGACCACCAGUUAAGGUCCCCAAAUAUAUGUUAAGUGGAAAAGGAUGUGGGGUUGCUUAGACAACCAGGAUGUUGGCUUAGAAGCAGCCACCAUUGAAAGAGUGCGUAAUAGCUCACUGGUCGAGUGACCCCGCGCCGAAAAUGUACCGGGGCUAAACAUAUUACCGAAACUGUGGAUGAACCUCUUUAGAGGUUCGUGGUAGGAGAGCGUUCUAAGGGCGGUGAAGUCAGACCGGAAGGACUGGUGGAGCGCUUAGAAGUGAGAAUGCCGGUAUGAGUAGCGAAAGAAGGGUGAGAAUCCCUUCCACCGAAUAUCUAAGGUUUCCUGAGGAAGGCUCGUCCGCUCAGGGUUAGUCGGGACCUAAGCCGAGGCCGAUAGGCGUAGGCGAUGGACAACAGGUAGAGAUUCCUGUACCAGUGCUAAUUGUUUAACCGAUGGGGUGACACAGAAGGAUAGGGAAUCGCACGAAUGGAAAUGUGCGUCCAAGCAGUGAGUGUGAGAAGUAGGCAAAUCCGCUUCUCGCGAAGCAUGAGCUGUGAUGGGGAAGGAAAUUAAGUACGGAAGUUCCUGAUUUCACGCUGUCAAGAAAAGCCUCUAGGAAGAGUAGUACUGCCCGUACCGCAAACCGACACAGGUAGAUGAGGAGAGAAUCCUAAGGUGAGCGAGAGAACUCUCGUUAAGGAACUCGGCAAAAUGACCCCGUAACUUCGGGAGAAGGGGUGCUCUAUUAGGGUGCAAGCCCGAGAGAGCCGCAGUGAAUAGGCCCAGGCGACUGUUUAGCAAAAACACAGGUCUCUGCAAAACCGUAAGGUGACGUAUAGGGGCUGACGCCUGCCCGGUGCUGGAAGGUUAAGAGGAGUGCUUAGCUUCGGCGAAGGUACGAAUUGAAGCCCCAGUAAACGGCGGCCGUAACUAUAACGGUCCUAAGGUAGCGAAAUUCCUUGUCGGGUAAGUUCCGACCCGCACGAAAGGCGCAACGAUCUGGGCACUGUCUCAACGAGAGACUCGGUGAAAUUAUAGUACCUGUGAAGAUGCAGGUUACCCGCGACAGGACGGAAAGACCCCGUGGAGCUUUACUGCAACCUGAUAUGGAAUGUUUGUACCGCUUGUACAGGAUAGGUAGGAGCCGAAGAGACGUGUGCGCUAGCAUACGAGGAGGCAAUGGUGGGAUACUACCCUGGCUGUAUGACCAUUCUAACCCGCCACGCUUAGCGCGUGGGGAGACAGUGUCAGGUGGGCAGUUUGACUGGGGCGGUCGCCUCCUAAAGAGU
rnacentral:rRNA from 1 species